GACGAACGCUGGCGGCGUGCUUAACACAUGCAAGUCGAACGGAAAGGCCUUUUCGGUGGUACUCGAGUGGCGAACGGGUGGGUAACACGUGGGUGAUCUGCCCUGCACUCUGGGAUAAGCCUGGGAAACUGGGUCUAAUACCGGAUAGGACCGCACUUUAGAGUGUGUGGUGGAAAGUGUUUUCGGUGUAGGAUGAGCCCGCGGCCUAUCGGCUUGUUGGUGGGGUAAUGGCCUACCAAGGCGGCGACGGGUAGCCGGACUGUGGGGUUGGUAGGCCACAUUGGGACUGAGAUACGGCCCAGACUCCUACGGUAGGCAGCAGUGGGGAAUAUUGCACAAUGGGCGCAAGCCUGAUGCAGCGACGCCGCGUGGGGGAUGACUGCCUUCGGGUUGUAAACUCCUUUCGCCAGUGACGAAGCGUUUUGUGACGGUACCUGGAGAAGAAGCACCGGCUAACUACGUG
rnacentral:rRNA from 1 species